CCACACACAAGGUGUUGUAUGAUCUUUAAAUAAGAUAUAUCAAUAGAAGGCACUAACGAGCAAAAACAGCUGACAUAUUGAUAUUGACAUUUUAAUUAAAACUAGUUGUCCUUUGACAGCCUUACAUACAGAAAACGCAUGCAUCUGUCAGUGUUUAAGUGGUCCAACUUAUAGUAUAUAUAGCUAUUUACCGGUAUAAUUAGUGUUUAAAAACAUCCAAAACGCGUGGCCUGACAACUGUCAACGAAAAGCAAGUCAUUUUUUGAAAUAUCUAUAACAUAUGUAGUAUAGAUUUUCUCUUCAGUGUGAAGGUGGAUCUCAUUCAGAUUGAAGUUACAAUGUCCCGUAUGAUCCUUACUCUACUGAUCAUAUCCUGUAUACUUGGACUUGCUGUAGCCCAGUACGGACAACUUGGAGCGUUCAGACAUUACAGUGAAUGGUUGAUGGACGACCCACAAAAAGCUAAUAGGAUGCCAUUUUGGAACCAUCUACUAGGCAACCGGAGAUUUAUGACAGGAUCGCGUGGAAGAACUUCAACACGAGCUCGAGCAGGAAGUGGCAGCACGGGUUGGAACAGUUUUAGCGGCAACAUGAACUGGAUGCCGUUAUUGAUGACUGUCAACUUCGACUACUAGUUCCUUAAGAUAAAAUGAGAUUGUGACAUGCUACGAAAAAGUCCUCUUUAUUAAUAAAGUGUCUCCUGAAAACUGAUGCAAAAAUUUUCAGAUGUUUUAUAAUGGUGUUGGUGGAUUUCUCAUAUAUGAGUUUCCAAGUAGUAAAUUGCUACCCGAGUUAUUGUUGUACAAAAUAAGUUAACAGUUGGUAAAAGGUGUUUUACUUGGCGACUUGAUGAACUUAUUGUUUAUUUCACAGUUUUGCAGUGAAGAGAUUGCCCCCGUGAAAUCUAGUAGUACAUGUAAAGUCAUAAUCAUCAACACUUCUACAGCUAACUGCUUUUAUUUCAGACUUCUUUUCAUAGACAAGUAAAGUCCACUACCAUCGCUUCAUUAUUCGCCUCUUUCAUUGCUCUAACAUCAUACUUCACUUCCGUCAUCUUUUCACCAAUACCUCUAAAGCCACUGCUCUCAUUCCGCAUUUCACUUCCUCAGCAUUUUUAUAAACGCAUAGCAAGUCUACUGCUCUUGC